AUGGCCGACGCGGAUCAAAGUGUAGUAUCUGUUCUUACCAACUUAAUAUCUGACACGGGUUCUAUUUGGACCCAAGAUGUCAAACUUAGUUUUGCAAGUUGGCGGAGUGCUUCAAGCCUGCUUCACCUCCGCCGCGGUUCGGUCCGGUAAUGCACUGUCUUCGGAAUUUUUGGUCUACGGACA